UACAGAGGGGGCAAGCGUUAUUCGGAAUUAUUGGGCGUAAAGGGCGCGUAGGCGGCCUGGCAAGUGGAAGGUGAAAUCCCUCGGCUCAACUGAGGAACUGCCCUCCAAACUGCUUUGCUUGAGUCCGGGAGAGGUGAGUGGAAUUCCCAGUGUAGCGGUGAAAUGCGUAGAUAUUGGGAGGAACACCAGUGGCGAAGGCGGCUCACUGGACCGGAACUGACGCUGAGGCGCGAAAGCGUGGGGAGCAAACGGG
rnacentral:rRNA from 1 species